rnacentral:snRNA from 1 species
AAACUUAUCUGGCAGGAGAGAUAACAAGAUCACAAAGGUGGUUUUCCCAGGGUGAGGCUUUUUGGAUGUGCUGACCCCUGUGAUUUCCCCAAAUGUGGGAAACUCCACUGCAUAAUUUGUGGUAGUGUUGUGUGUGGGGAGCAGCG